CCUACGGGAGGCAGCAGUGAGGAAUAUUGGUCAAUGGACGAGAGUCUGAACCAGCCAAGUAGCGUGAAGGAUGACUGCCCUAUGGGUUGUAAACUUCUUUUAUCUGGGAAUAAAAUGUUCCACGUGUGGGAUUUUGUAUGUACCAUAUGAAUAAGGAUCGGCUAACUCCGUGCCAGCAGCCGCGGUAAUACGGAGGAUCCGAGCGUUAUCCGGAUUUAUUGGGUUUAAAGGGUGCGUAGGUGGAUUGUUAAGUCAGUUGUGAAAGUUUGCGGCUCAACCGUAAAAUUGCAGUUGAAACUGGCAGUCUUGAGUGCAGUAGAGGUGGGCGGAAUGCGUGGUGUAGCGGUGAAAUGCAUAGAUAUCACGAAGAACUCCGAUUGCGAAGGCAGUUCACUGGACUGCAACUGACACUGAGGCUCGAAAGUGUGGGUAUCAAACAGGAUUAGAUACCCUUGUAGUC
rnacentral:rRNA from 1 species